AUAGAGACUCAGAGCUGCAUAUCAAUAAGCGGAGGAAAAGAAACUAACUAGGAUUCCCUUAGUAACGGCGAGUGAAGCGGGAAGAGCUCAAAUUUGAAAUCUUCAAGGUUCUACCUUGACGAAUUGUAGUUUAAAGAAGUGUUUUCUGUUAGGAGUGAGUACAAAGUUCCUUGGAAAUGGACAUCAUAGAGGGUGAGAAUCCCGUAUUUGGAUUAUUCAUUCUAGCUUUGUGAUACACUUUCAAAGAGUCGGAUUGUUUGGGAAUGCAGUCCAAAAUGGGUGGUAAAUUUCAUCUAAAGCUAAAUAUUGGCGAGAGACCGAUAGCGAACAAGUACCGUGAGGGAAAGAUGAAAAGAACUUUGAAAAGAGAGUUAAACAGUACGUGAAAUUGUCAAAAGGGAAGCGUUUGACACCAGUGUUGUUUUUCUCGAAAAUCAAUUACAAAUGGCUGGAUUUUGUGUUGUAUUGACCUUAUCAGCUUUCUGCACUUUUUUCUAGUCUUUCUUAAUGCACUUUUCGUUUAACAAGUCAACAUCAAUUUCUUUUGUUGUAAAAGGGUCAUUGGAAGGUGGCUUUCUUUUCGGAGAAAGUGUUUAUAGCCUUUGGCCUCUGCAAUCGGAGAGAUUGAGGUCCUGCAGCGUAGAUCCUUCGGGGUUAGAUACACUUGUGCUAAGUUGUAGCCUUUUCAUAGACAACUUGUUGACUAUGAUCAGUCAUGUAGCUUACUCGCUUAUGCUAUUUUACCUACGCUUAGGAUGUUGACGAUCAGCUGAGCGCG
rnacentral:rRNA from 1 species